rnacentral:tRNA from 1 species
GCCCGCAUAGCCAACUCAGCAGAGCAGAGGACUGAAAAUCCUCGUGUCACAGUUCAAUAA